UACAGAGGGGCAAGCGUUAUUCGGAAUUAUUGGGCGUAAAGGGCGCGUAGGCGGCUUUGCAAGUGGCGGGUGAAAUCCCUCGGCUUAACCGAGGAACUGCCUGCCAGACUGUGAGGCUUGAGACCGGGAGAGGUGAGUGGAAUUCCCAGUGUAGCGGUGAAAUGCGUAGAUAUUGGGAGGAACACCAGUGGCGAAGGCGGCUCACUGGACCGGAACUGACGCUGAGGCGCGAAAGCGUGGGGAGCAAACAGGG
rnacentral:rRNA from 1 species